ACCAACCCCAAAUAAGAGAAGCCACUGUUCCUUCAGUCAAAUGGACGCCAACUGUUCGACAAAAAUCCCCAAUGAGUUCUUAACCUGAGGAAAACUCCAAUUUUUUGAGUUUUGAAUUUUAUUUUAAUUAUUAUUAUGUAAAAUAUUAUUUUUGUACACUCGGGAUUAAAUUGUUGUUUUCAGUCCCCUGAAUUCUAUACAAUCAGUUUAAAAUGUCUAGAAUACCCUCUAACCUGUCGCCCAGCACUUUACUUAAUCUGUAAAUAAGUGGGAAAAGAGGGUCCAACACAAAACUUCAGGCGCUAUAACAAACAACAGAUUCCACACUGAAGCGAGGGUUAGGGUUAGGGCUUGGAAUUGGGGAGGCUGCAACUUGCAAUCCUCUCUGCUUCCUUUCCCUUCUCUCCUCUAGAGUUUCCAAGGUCCUGUUCAAGAUUUCUAAUUCUUGCAAAACCUUGCGCUCUGUUUGGAAUGAAUGAAUGAAUGAAUCUGAAAAGUAGUAUUCAUUUACAAAUGAAUUCUACAUGGCUACAAAGACAUCCAUGCUACUGAACUUUACCCGUUUACCCAUUUAUGCCCCUGAACUUGAAGGGGAUCUACCCCUCAGGUUUCAAUUUGAGACCUGGAGAGCUGGGAAUUUGCAAGGGCCGUUGCCCCUCUCCGUUGAAAGGCGAUCUCUGCAUCCGCGGAUCGAUCGUCUGAGAGCCGAUGAUUUUCUCGAUCAAACUCAACUGCCCUUUCUCCGCUUGUGACCCAGAAAAUGAAGGAGGCUUCCGGCGGAGAGAUGGGAUGUUUCUGAGGGUGGUUGCCCCUCUCUGCCUCAAACAAUGAAGCCCGUGAUUUCGUCUCCUCCAAAAUAUCAACAGCCCUCUGGGUGCGUGCGUAUCUACACAUAGUGCAUGUGUACGUGUUCAAAUAGCAUUUUCCUUUCCUAUAUAUAUAUAUAUAUGUGUGUGUGUGUGUGUGUGUAGCGCGGCAUAGCUGUUUCAGCCUCACCACCAACGCCGGCGCCACCACCACCAUCUCCUCCUCCUGGCGCCAGAUGUCAUCAGUCACGACACCUAGCAUUAUUCUUUGGGCUGUGAUGAUCAAUUUUCUGGGUCCAGAUCAGGUGUUGAGGCAGAUCCGACCCGGUUACUGGCGGGGCAACCUGGAUGGUCCGGUGGAGAGAGAGAGAGAAGCAUCGUCGCCGACAAUGUUUUCCUCUCCAUCUCGUACUGGGGAACCGGCGUUUGCAGCCAUGGUGGGUUGUCUCGGUCUUCUCACUUUACCGAUCUGAUUAGAUCUGAGUCCCAACUUUCCAACAUCUGAAAGCCUAGUUUUGCAAAGAUUUUUAAAGUGUCCUAUUUUUCAAAAGUUUAGUACCGAAAGUCCUAUUUUUGCAAAUUUCCCGAAAGUCUAUACAGGAAUAUCUCCAGAAUGAGGCAUAGAGAAUGGGAAGUUUCAAAGGGUUGUUGCCCUUCUCUGCGAAGGAGAUCACUGAUGUAUGAUCGCCUAAAGCCAAUGAUUUUGGUCGCCCUUAAUGAAACCGACAGCACAUCCUAGCAUUAUUCUUUGUGUUGAGAACUUGAAUUUACAUUAAGUUGAAUAUUUUCCCAAAUCUAGGGCUCAAAGAUGAAAGCCGUGAGUUCAAGGAGGAGAGCUGGGGAUUUGUUAGGGCCGUUGCCCCUUUAUCUAGAUGGGGAUCUCUGUUUUCGCAGAUUGAUCGUCUCAGAGCCCAUGAGUCAUCAACUUAAACCAACUGCCCUCGGUGUGUGUGUGUGUGUGGCAUUCUGGCUGUGCUUAUGUCUUUUCUUUCUUUCUCUUCUUCUUUCUUUUUUGUGGCUGUGAUGAUAAAUUUUCUGGCUUCAGAUCAACUGUUGAAGGGGAUCCCACCUGCUUCUUGGCGGGGCAACACGGACAGCCAUUUGGAGGGAGGGGGCUAUGAUCUCCUCUUUCAUUAGGCAACCGAUGCUUGCAGCCAUGGCGAUGGUAGCCUUUCCUCUCAGCCUACUGAUCUAAUUGGAUCCGAUGUGUUAAUAUCACCACCCGAACUUAAUUACAUCAGUAUUUAAUUCUGAUACCAAGCGGGCCUAAGGUUACUCAUUAGCUUAAGAAUGAGGCUUGCAUGGAGAGAUGGGAAUUUCAGAAGGUUGUUGCCCCUCUGUCGAUGAUGGCUUUCUCCACAGGGAUGUCAUCUGAAAGCCGAUGAUUUCUCAAAAAAGGAACAAACAACCCUCUUCGCGUAAACGCACACAUAUGUACACAUAUCAAUUAUGUCCCUGAACGUGUUUGGUAUUGCUGUCGCAAUAAAAAGGAACUAACACCCUUUUAGCACCCACACAGAUACAAGCAUAUGCCCUCUCUCUCUCUCUCUCUCUAUAUAUAUAUAUAUAUGUUUAUGUGAGGCUGUGAUGAUGGUUUUUAGGAAAAUCAGACAUAGAAGAAGCCAACCCUGGCGGGGUAACUCAGUGGGCAGUGAGUCAUUUGUGUCUCGUGGCCAUUGUUUCUGCAGCCAAGGCUGGCGUCCUCAUUUUCUUGAGAAAAGGCGAAUCUGAGCCUCCUUUUUGGUCUGUUUGGCUUACCUUAAGAGCUGUUUGGCUUGCCCGGUGCUUAAAAACUCUCGAACUGUUUAUAAUCUGUUAAUGAGAUUGUGACUCAAUAAAUGCAUGAGGCUUGACAUGGAGAGCUGGGAAUUUGCAAAGGUCCGUUGCCCCUCUCCAUAGACGGGUGAUAUCUGCAUCCGCAGAUCAAUCAUCUGAGAGCCAAUGAUUUUCUUAAUCAAACUCAACAGGCCUUUCUUUUCUUUUGACUUAGAAAAUGAAUGAGGCUUGCAACAGAGAGACCGGAUGUUUCUAAAGGUGGUUGCCCCUCUCUGCUUCAUCUUUAUUUGAUGCACAGAAAUGGCGGCACCAAGCACAGAAACACCAAUUUGUGUUUGUGAAUCAACGGCGGCUCAACCCAGUUUGUGCUUGUGAAUCGACAGUGGCACCGAGCAAUCAGAGUUGUGAAUCAAUGGCAGCACCAAGCACUGAGCAACCGGGCGGCAAGGGGGAACGAUGAUAAGGGGAUGGUCAGAGAGAUAGAGAGGGGCUUUAAGCUGUGACGAAGGUAAACCUGAGAGAGUUAAGGGUUCGCAUGGGGCAGCCCUCGAAUCAGAAUUAAUAUUAUGCUAGUUAGAGACAGAAUCUUUUCCAUCUCUAAUCUCUUCGUGGACGGAAAUGUUUCGAUAUUUUACUAAUAUUACAAAUAUUUUAGCACAUACGCAUAUACAAGCAUAUGAACCCUCUCUAUCUCUCUGUCUCUCUCUGCUUAUGUGAGGCUGUGAUGAUGGUUUUUAGGAAAAUCAAACAUACAAGAAGCCAACCCUGGCGGGGUAACUCAGUGGGCAGUGAGUCAUUUGUGUCUCGUGGCCAUUGUUUCUGCAGCCAUGGCUGGCGUCCUCAUUUGCCUGAGAAAAGGUGAAUCUGAGCCUCCCCCUUUCCGUAUCCGUAGCUAAGUAUUUUCCUGGUUUAUUCAGCUUCUUGAAUUCUGAAAGAUGAUUUUCCCAGGGGAUGUCUGUUCUUGACAAAUUGCACUUCUGUGCUGUGUUUAUACUAUUCUUUGUGAGAAGUGGUUUUGUUUUCUGUCUUGCAAUUAACUUUAUUUAGUUUAUAGAAUGAGAUUAUGAUAUGUAUAACACGUCAAUGCAAGAAUGUCACCAAAAGUGUCACAAUUGAGUAUCUGAAUAACAUUUUCCUGUUGAUUAUUCUCAAUUUGACAUGAUGGAAAACUAUUCUCUUGAAGUUGAGAAAUUAAAAUGCAAGGCAGCAAGUUUCCUCAAAAUUUGUCGAUCAAUUUUUUAAUAAAAAUGUUAAUUAUGUUUGGGUAGAAAACUAGAAACCAGUGUUGUUUCCUUUAUUUGGGAUUAUGAACAAGUAAUCCAAGUGUUUGACAAAAAGCCUCCUCCCAGUUGUUGCUUUGCAUUUCCUUUAAGUUUUCACAUUCUUUGUUGUGAAAAUUACGUAUUUGUUCCUCUCCAUAGAAAGGUGAUAUCUGCAUCCGCAGAUCAAUCGUCUGAGAGCCAAUGAUUUUUUUUAAUCAAAUUAAACAGGCCUUUCUUUUCUUGUGACCCAGAAAAAGAAUUGAGGCUUCCAGCAGAGAGACAGGAUGUUUUUGAGGGUGGUUGCCCCUCUCUGCAUUAUCUUUAUUUGAUGCACGGAAAUGAUGGCACCGAGCACGGAAACGUCAAUUCGUGCUUGUGAAUUGACGGCGGCUCAGCCCAGUUUGUGUUUGUGAAUUGAUGGUGGCACCAAGCACUGAGCAACCAGGUGGCAAGGGGGAACGAUGAUAAGGGGAUGGUCUGAGAGAUAGUAGAUGUAAGUUGUGAUGAAGGUAAACCUAAGAGAGAUAAGGGUUCACAGAGGGCAGCCCUCGAAUCAGAAUUAAAAUUAUGCUGGUUAGAGACAAUUUUUUUUGUCUGUAACCUCUUUGUGGAUGGAAAUGUCUUGAUAUUUUGCUAAUAUUACGAAACAGCUCUGAAACAUUUUUGAAAGUGCAGAAAUGGGUUAGGUGUAUUUUUGGUGUUUCUCAGCGUUUCAAUACGGGAAACGUCAAAACGGCACCUUGAGGCAUUUCUGUGCAUCAUAGAAUAAAGAAGCUUGUGAUAUCCUUCUCCAAAAUCAAUAGCCCUUUGGGUUUUGCGUAUUUAUACAUGAUGUAUGCUUCUGCAUUGCUGUUUCACUGCCACUGCCACAUCUCCUCUUCAAUAUUGCAAAUUCUAAAGAGACUGAUGAUAAAUUUUCUGGCUCCAGAUCAGGUGUUGAGCAGGUCUAAAUCCCAGUUCUUGGCGGGGCAGCCCGGAUGGUCUGGAGAGAGACAGAAAGAAACGUAGCUUCUGUUUGUCUCUCCUAGUUGGCGACCAGCAUUAGCAGCCAUGGCGGGGGUUGCCAGUCUUCUCACUUCACUGAUCUGAUUAGAUCUGAGUCUCAACUCCCAUCCUUUGUCCACAGAUCUUCCCUCUUUGACAUCAUUGUGGCUUGAAAUAUUAAAGUAAAUUGGGGUAAUGCCCUGUUUGGGAUUGAGUUAAAGAAAUGAGUUGAACCCAGUCUGAGGCACGGAGAGCCUGGAAGUUUAAAAGGGUUGUUGCCCCUCUCUGUGAAGGCAACCUCUGAUAUGAGAUUGCCCAAAGCCAGUGAUUUUGUUCACCAAACCAACAUUUAGUGUGUGCAUGUGGGUAUGGGCAUGAACAGGUUUGGUUUAGUCAAACACUUCUCUCUACUUGCUCCUUUUCUUUGUAGUCCUUGUUGCUUGUGCUGCUGCUGAAUGUGCAGAUAUAAAAGGAAAAUGGUACCCGUAGAGAAAUGCCGUAUCAAACUUUAUUUAUCCAAAAAAAAAAGAGAUUAUAUCAUAGUUGCAGUGAAUACUUUUGCCAAUUUGGGGCUCAAAGAUGGAAGCCGUGAAUUCAAGGAGGCUUGUUUGAAGAGCUGGGGAUUUGUGAGGGAUGUUGGCCCUCUCCUUAGAAGGUGAUCUCUGUUUUCAGAGAUUGAUCAUAUGAGAGAAGAUGAUUCAUUGAUUGAAAUCAACUUUGCUUGCACUUUAUCUAGCCAAAAAAAAAACAACUGCACUUUCUCUCUUUCUUGUAAGAGUAUCAUUUUCUGUUUUGUUGAAAGACUGUGACUCUAGAAAUUUAAUGGACGAGGCUUCAAACAGAGAGGUGGGAUAUUUGUAUGGGGAGUUGCCCUGCUGUGGGAAGGCGAUCUCUAUAUUCAAAGAUUGAUCUUCUGAGUGCUGAUGAUUUGUAGACCAAAAUGAACCGCCUUUUUCUCUUCCCAUACAAAUUUUAUGAAGAAAACAACUGUAUCGACAUCAUUUUCCUUUCAAGGAUAUGAAGCCUUGAAGAAUAUAUGUGAAUGCCUCCCUGUGACCAAAUUUUAAGAUAUGCCAAACACCCUCUUAAGGUUUAUGAUGAUGUUGUGGUUUCCUUGCCACUGGAAAUGAAUUAUUUGAGGCUUCUUCAGGCUGAGAGAUGGGAUGUUGCUCCUCUCUGUUCUUAGCAAGAAGCCACUGAUUUCAUCUCUCAUCUCCACUUAAAUCAACUGCCUUUGGUGGGUGGGUGUGCACGCGCGCACUUAUUGGCUGAGCAUUCUGGCUUUGCUUCUGCCUCUAAUGCCGCUUCAGGAUCAUCAUCACCAUCGUCCUUUAGAUGCUGUGAUGAUAAAUAUUCUGAGUCUAGAUCAGCUGUCCAAGGGUAUUCCACCUGAUUCCUGGCGUGGCAACCCGGAUGGCCAUUGAAAGUGGGGGCUCUUUUCUCCUCUCUUGCUAGGCAGUGGGGGUGGUCAUUCUUCUCGGCUUACUGACUUAGAUCUGAGCCUCCAUAUGCCCACAUCAAUGUUGUGAUGUAGGUGAUGGUGAUGGCGAAAACACAGUGAUGGGUUGGAGGCGACGGUUGAGAUGGAAGUUGGAAGCGAUGGUCGAGAUGUGGCUGAUGGAGGCGGCAACGAGAAGGAGAUGGGAGGGAGGCGGUAUUGUUUAAGGGCAGAAGUUGGAAAUAGUAGAGUUUUAGGAGGGGAAAAUUGUAAAUCACUUGGUCAACGAAAUAAGUUGAUAACAGUGUUUUGAGAAAAAUUGGGGCGGAGCUUUUUUAAAAUGCUGUUAAAAUAGCGUUUAAGUUUGUCAGUAUUUAAUCUCUUUAAUUUUUAACAAACGUGUCAUAAAAUAAGUUAUAAUGUUUAAGCUCCACUGACAACUUGUAAACUGUCAAACCUGAGCGGCAAACACCCUCUUAGGCUUUAAACUUUGAGUAUAACUUGUGCCGAUGUCUUUGACUUGUUGGAAUCUGAUUUUUUUAAAAGUAAAGUGCACUUCACUAGUAGCUACAGGGGGGACACUGCUGCAAUUGGACUUCUAGGUAAGCUGUAGUGCUUUCAUUCAAGAUUGAACUGUCAUGUUUCAAGUAAUUUCUUCUACUGGUCAUCUAUUUUGCCAGCAUGUGGGUGUAGUAAUGCAUCUCUAGAAUGGGUGGAGUCUGAGGUGGUUGAAUGUGCUUGUGCUCUGGGCUUGCUUGAUGUCAAGGUAAUACUUAUUCUAUUGUUCCGUGAUAAAUGAUGUAGGCCUUUUCUCAUAAGUACUUAUUGCAGCAUCAAUGUAAUUGAUAUUCAUUCUUGGAGUCAUGAAAUGAUGACAAUGCAAUUUGAAUUAAUCAGUAACUUGGCCAACCCAUGGCUCAUCUACUUAAAAUAUAUGUAAUGAGAGUGAAAUCUUGCCUUGACAAACACCCAACUCUCAUUGAUCUUUCAAGGUGGCACAAGUUAUACCGAAAGUUUUGCUUUGCACAUUGAAAACAAAUAUAUAUGCACAAAUCAUAUAAUUUUUUUUAUAGUACAAGUCAGUCAAAAUUAGUAUUAUUUACUUUUAGGUUUUCUCUCUCCUCUCAUAUCAUCUGUGAUUCAGAUCUGAUGAUACUGGCAAAUGUUUUGGAUGUCAAGUCACUUUGGCUUGUUCCAGAGAUCUGGUGUUAAGGGUUCACCAUCUUGGUCAGUUGAGCAUUGAGAGGCAGGUUCCACCUGGCCAAGGUCAAUCUGUCUUAACAGGAAGGUUCAAUUUCUCAGCCCUUUCUUUUCCUAAUCAGGGUUUCGGAUCUAAUCUCAUGUUUUUUCUUAAUUCUGGUUAAAUUGUUUUCACUUUCCAUUUCUGUUCCUGAAAAAGCAAUUUCUUGAGAAAUGGAUUGUGUUGAUUUUGUAAUUGUAGUAAUUUGGGAUAAUGGGGGUUUGGAUUUUAAUUAAGGAGCAUGGUCAACAGGUAGAAUAAAUGAAUUGCAUAAUUCACUUUUAAGGUUUUUACCAGUUAAUGCAAAGAGGUCUGUCUUGCUACUAAGUUUAUUUAGUUAUAAUGUUGUAUUAUUUUUAAUAUUUUACAUAUAUAUAAACUUUACCUUUUGUAUGAAUUAUUAUAUUUUGAUUAUUUUCUGUUUUCACUACAAGGGAAACUAUUUCUCCAGAGGAGAGAGAAAAUAAAGGCCGUCAAUAAUUCUACCUCAGUUUUUGCAAAAAAUUUGUCUAUUUUUUUUAUCAAAAUUAUUUAGGAAGUAUUUAACAUAAUUAUUUGAAAAUAUUUAAUAUGUUUGAUAAAAAAUAAAAUAUGAGGCCAGUAUUCUUUUCCCUCAUUUAGGAUUUGGAGACGAGUAUGCCUGCAGGUUUAUAAAAAAACCCAGAUGAUUAGGCCUGCGAAUAUCAUUUCAAUUCACAUGCUCUGCUUUUGUAAAUAUUCCUAUUGUUUCUGUCAUUUGGCAAUAUGCUCUAAGGAGAUAGGUCUAUUCUGGGUAUUUCAGUGCUUUUUUCUGAAGAUCAGACUUCAAAUUUAGCUUGGUGCACGAAUGUUGAUGUCACUAUAUUCUGUGAAGUUUUUGUUUUUCUUUACUAUAUUGGAUAAUCGAAGAUGAAGAAACAAUCAACCAGGGCACAAGCUGGUCUUGAAUCCAACUUAAAUUUGGCCCUUGAGGGAAUGAAAUCAGAACGAGGCACAGAGAGCCGGGGAGUCUCCAAGGCUGGUCCCUCUCUGCGAAGAUCUCUAAUAUGAGAUUUGGAUUAUUUUGUUGGCCGUUAAUGAAACCAACAGACCUGUGUGUGAGUUUACAUAUCUAUUCUGGUAUGAGCAAACACCCAUUUUGUUGUUAUCUCUGGGUAAUUCAUUGUGGCUUUGCUGCUGCUCUGUUUUUUCUUCAUUAUUUGGGGGCUGUGAUGAUAAAUUCUGGGUCUAGAUCAUCUCUCAGGGGGAUUCCACCUGGUUCCUAGCGGGGCAACCUCGAUGGCCAUUGAAAGGGGGCUCUGUUCUCCUUUGUCAAUUGGCAACCAAACCAAUGCUUCCAACCCUGUCGAGGGUGGCUGCCCUCUCGGCCUUCCUGAUCUGAAUUGGAUCUCAGCCUCCACAUAAGCUCUUGAAGAGCAGUAGAGCUUGUAAACUGCGAUGAUUUUAGCUUUUAAAAAUCAAAGGGGCUCUAAUUCCCUCCCAAACAAUCCUUAAUGAAAGAUUGUGAAUCUAGAGUACGCACGAGGCUCGACAUGGUGUGCGAUUGCUGGUCUUCUCAUUUUACCAAUCAGAAUAGAUCUGAGGCCCAAUGCCUGUCCUCCACAUAUGGAUCUUCCGUCUCAUACAUGCUCUCAUCUCUAAUAUUUUUUAAAAGUUGGUCUCUAAUAUUUUUUAAAAGUUGGCCUGACGCGUCUUUCUCUUCAUCCUCUUUUUUCGUUGCAGUCCUUGCGGCUGCUGAAGGAGCUUAUAUAAGAAGAGAAACGAUAUCGUUAGAGAAAGGUUGUCUCACAUUUUUACAUACAGGGAGAAGAAUGGUUGUUACACAAUUGCAUUGAAUAUUUUCUCAGAUUUUGGGCUGAAAGAUGUCAUGGAAAUGGUUAGUGGUAUAGUUAGAGGGCCAGUCACUGUCUAUGUUGAUAUUGGUUUGAACCAUCAUUCCGCUCUCCCUUUAGCUCUGUUCUCUUGCUUGCCAGGCCAGCCCUCUCAGGGAAAUUCUAUACCCACCCCGAUAAAUUACUCUUUACAGUCCACUCUAUGCAAAAUUCUAUCAAAAUUUUAAAAUUCACAUUUUAGCCCCCUCCACUACCACCUCCAACCAUCUCGAUCGUCGCUUCACCUCUCUUUUCCUCCCACACUUAUACACAUACACACAAACACAGAGAAAGAGAGACAGAGAGUGGGUCGGUUGCCAUGGCCGACCCACACACACACAUACACCAUAUAUAUAUAUACACACACACAUAUAUAUAUAAAGAGAGCAUGGCCGACCCACACACACAUUUAUAUAUAUAUACAACACAUAUAUAUAUACACACACGCGCGCAUGGUCGCGGCCAUGGAAACCCUCGCACCUCGCGGUGCGGGGAUUUCUCAAACCUCUGCACUGCGAGGUGCGAAGGACUCUAAACCAAACCUCCGCACCUCGCGGUGCGAAGGAUUAUGUAAUCUCUGUACCGCGAGUUGCGGGGGACCUUCGCACCUCGCAGUGCAGAGGUUUGAGUCCAUGGCCGCGACCAUGGCUGUCAUGGCCGCAACCAUGCGUGUGUGUAUAUAUGUGUGUGUGAGUGCUUGUGUAUAUAUAUACAUGUGUGUGUGUAUAUAUAUAUAUAUAAACGUGUGGGUCGGCCAUCGCUGACCCACUCUCUCUCUAUUCGGCUUUCAUGGCCGUGGCUAUGCGUGUGUGUAUAUAUAUAUAUAUAUAUAUAUAUAUGGGGGGGUUGGCCAUGGCAACCGACCCUCUCCUUCUCUCUCUCUAUUUGGCUUCCAUGGCCGCGGCUUAAGUGUGUGUGUGUAUAUAUGUGUGUGUGUGAGUGUCAGCCAUGGCAGCCGACCCACUCUCUGUCUCUCUCUCUAUGUGUUUGUGUGUAUAUGGUGUGGGAGGAAAAGAGAGAGGUGAGGCGUCAGUCGGGAUGGUCGGAGUAGGUAGUGGGUGGGGCUAAAAUGAAAAUUUUAAAAUUUUGAUAGAAUUUUACAUGAGGUGGGCUAUAGAGAGUAAUUUGUCGGGUGUGUAUAGAAUUUCCCAUCCUCUCAGUUCUAAAACAUUUAUUAAAAUGCCCAGAAUACCCUUUAUUUUGAGUACCCAUCACAUCACCUCACCCAACCUAAAGUGGAAAAAAAGGUUCAAUGCAUAAAUUCAGCCGCCAUAAAUAAUUAAGAAACUUGAGGUCAAGGUUUAACCUUUUGCGAUCCCUCUUUUCUUUUCCCAUAUAAGCAUUGCAUUUCCCAGAGAACUGAUUUGGCAUAGGAAAAUUCUAUUCAUAGCUCACACUAUUUCUCUUCAUCGCCACUUCGGUGAAAAUUAUCAUCUUUGAAAAAUUCUAUUUUACCCUUUAGAGUCCCCCAUAUCCAUAGCCAUUCCUUUCCUUUUACUCUCCACAACCCACAUAAUCAUCUCAUUUGCUCCAUCUCUCUCGUUACACUCAUCUUUUUCUCUUUCUCACCCAUCUCUUCUUUUCUCUGUCUCUUGAAUACACAAACACACACAUAUAUAUAUAUACACACAAACACAUCUAUUUAUAUAUAUAUAUAUACACACACCUAUAUAUAUAUAUACACAUGCAAGAGGUCAUGUAUUUUCAUGCAUGUGUAUAUAUGUAUAUAUAUAUAUGUGUGUGUGUAUUUGGGGGACAGAUGGAGAGAUGGGCUGAAAGAAAGAUAUUGGUGUAAUGAGAGAGAUAGAGCAUAUAGGUGGCUAUGUGGGCUGUUGAGAGUAAAAGGAAAUGAAUGGUUGUGGCUAUAAAGGGUAAAAUAAGAUUUUUGAAUGAUGUUAGUGAAUUUUGGUGGGAGAGUGAGUGAAGAGCAAUAGUGUGGGCUGUGAAUAGAAUUUUCGUUUGACUUAAGCUUAAAUCAUGGAGAACAAAUGUGAAUGGAGAGCUUGGAUAUAAUGAGGCUAAAGUUUUUGUUCUAAAAAAGAAUGGAGUUAGGUCGUAGAUUUACUCUUUAAAGGUGUUGCCUCGGUGACCAAUUGAAGGGAGAAAAACCGAUUAGAGAUUUUAAAAAAAAAAAUGUAAAUGAAAUUUGAAGAAAAUUUAUUUAAAAAUAAGGAUAUUUUGAUUAUUUUUUAAUAUUUAACGGGAUUAAUUAUAAUGUGGGAGAAAUUAUAAUAUUAUAUUAAAAUUUUAAAAAUAUUCUCUGUAUUUUUUAAAUGUAAAUAUAAAAAUAUUUUUUAUAUUAUAAUUAUCUUAAAUAAGUAAGAUAUUGUUUCAAUUACGUUAAAAAUAUUACAUUAAAUCUGAUCAGUACCGCAUCAAAGGUUCCCAGACCAAAGAUGAUAAAACGGAGAAAUCAGAUUGCUUUAAAUUCUGUAAUUGGAAAAUUCAAGUGCCCGAUUGUGCAAUGACUGAAAUGCCCUUCGAAUUCGUGAGUAAUCCACCUCACCUGCAGGACAAAAAGGGGAAUCAGACCAUAAAGGGGGGCACUAUAGAUAGAGUCGAGCAGCUAGGGUUUUCGGUAUCUCAUUAGUUUAAGAAUGAGGCUCGCACGGAGAGCUGGGAAUUUCGGAGGGUUGUUGCCCCUCUCUGUAGAUGAUGAUCGUCUGACUCGUCGGAAUGGUCGUCGGAGAGCCGAUGAUUUCCCAACAAACGAAUCAACAGCCCUCUUCGUACAUAUAUAUAUAUAUAUUGACACACACACACACGUACGAACUCUCUGUCUCAGGCCUGUUUGGCAUCGCUCUCUCUCUCUCUCUCUCGCUCUCGCUCUCUCUGCGUCUGUCUGUUUAAGGAGGCUGUGAUGAUGUUUUGCGGGAAAAUCAGGCACGCGAGAUGCUGAAUCCUGGCGGGGCAACUCAGUCGGCAGCGAGUCGUUCGUCUCGUGGCCGUUGUUUCUGCAGCCAUGGCCGGCGUCUUCGCGUGCCUGAAAAUAGGCGAACCUGAGCCUCCUGU